rnacentral:lncRNA from 1 species
UGAAAUCAUGAAAGUCACCUUCUUAACUGGAAAAACCAAUAUGGGUCUGAUGAUAUCUCUCUUUCUUUCUUCAUCUUCUCGUCCGUAUUGGUCUUGUUCUUCUUGCCUCUUGUUUUCUCGGAUGGUUUGAUCUUGAUCGUCCCUUGAUCCAUGGAAACCCUAAACUUAGGACGCAGGGAUGAGUUUAUGGUUUGAUGAAGAUAGUAAUAUCAUCAUUGAUAUUUGAUUCGAUGAAAAUGAUAAAGUGUGAGUCAGUGGUGUUAUUAGAGUGUGAUUAUUUUAGAAACGUGGGUUUGAUUUGUUAUUUUUACCCUUUCAUCUUUUAUUCUUCAGUAAAUUUGGAGAAUGUAAAAAAAAAAAAAAAAAAAAUUUGGAGAAUGUAGAGAUUUUUAUUUUGGAGAAACAUAGAAUUAUCGAAAUGCAUAAUGAUUUUUGAAAAUUUCAAACUUUAACUAGAUAAAUACCCGACCUAAUAUUUAAUAAUUUGGUUUUUUAGUUGCAGCUACUCAUCGGAGUUCUGGACUGUCCUCGCUAAACAACUACUCCAACGCCACUUCUCCACGACCUAGCAAGAAGUAGUCAACAACGUUAUGAGGAUUUCAUCCAAAC